UAACACAUGCAAGUCGAACGGUAACAGGAAGCAGCUUGCUGCUUUGCUGACGAGUGGCGGACGGGUGAGUAAUGUCUGGGAAACUGCCUGAUGGAGGGGGAUAACUACUGGAAACGGUAGCUAAUACCGCAUAACGUCUUCGGACCAAAGAGGGGGACCUUCGGGCCUCUUGCCAUCAGAUGUGCCCAGAUGGGAUUAGCUAGUAGGUGGGGUAAUGGCUCACCUAGGCGACGAUCCCUAGCUGGUCUGAGAGGAUGACCAGCCACACUGGAACUGAGACACGGUCCAGACUCCUACGGGAGGCAGCAGUGGGGAAUAUUGCACAAUGGGCGCAAGCCUGAUGCAGCCAUGCCGCGUGUAUGAAGAAGGCCUUCGGGUUGUAAAGUACUUUCAGCGAGGAGGAAGGCAUUAAGGUUAAUAACCUUAGUGAUUGACGUUACUCGCAGAAGAAGCACCGGCUAACUCCGUGCCAGCAGCCGCGGUAAUACGGAGGGUGCAAGCGUUAAUCGGAAUUACUGGGCGUAAAGCGCACGCAGGCGGUCUGUCAAGUCGGAUGUGAAAUCCCCGGGCUCAACCUGGGAACUGCAUUCGAAACUGACAGGCUAGAGUCUUGUAGAGGGGGGUAGAAUUCCAGGUGUAGCGGUGAAAUGCGUAGAGAUCUGGAGGAAUACCGGUGGCGAAGGCGGCCCCCUGGACAAA
rnacentral:rRNA from 1 species